GGUUGUGGCUCAGUGGUAGGGUGCUCAUCUAGCAUGUUUGAGGUACUGGGUUCAAUCCUCAGUACCA
rnacentral:tRNA from 1 species